CUACGGGAGGCAGCAGUGAGGAAUAUUGCACGAUGGAGGAAACUCUGAUGCAGCAACGCCGCGUGGAGGAUGACGCAUUUCGGUGUGUAAACUCCUUUUAUAUGUCAAGAAAAUGACGGUAGCAUAUGAAUAAGCACCGGCUAACUCCGUGUCAGCAGCCGCGGUAAUACGGAGGGUGCAAGCGUUACUCGGAAUCACUGGGCGUAAAGGACGCGUAGGCGGGAUAUCAAGUCAGGUGUGAAAUCCUACAGCUUAACUGUAGAACUGCACUUGAAACUGGUAACCUAGAGUAUGGGAGGGGGAGAUGGAAUUAGUGGUGUAGGGGUAAAAUCCGUAGAUAUCACUAGGAAUACCUAAAGCGAAGGCGAUCUCCUGGAACAUAACUGACGCUAAGGCGUGAAAGCGUGGGGAGCAAACAGGAUUAGAUACCCCUGUAGUC
rnacentral:rRNA from 1 species